UGGGGAAUAUUGCACAAUGGGGGAAACCCUGAUGCAGCGACGCCGCGUGAACGAAGAAGGUAUUCGUAUCGUAAAGUUCUGUCCUAUGGGAAGAUAAUGACAGUACCAUAGAAGAAAGCUCCGGCUAAAUACGUGCCAGCAGCCGCGGUAAUACGUAUGGAGCGAGCGUUGUCCGGAAUUAUUGGGCGUAAAGGGUACGCAGGCGGUUUAAUAAGUCGAAUGUUAAAGAUCGGGGCUCAACCCCGCAAAGCAUUGGAAACUGAUAAACUUGAGUAGUGGAGAGGAAAGUGGAAUUCCUAGUGUAGUGGUGAAAUACGUAGAUAUAUGGAAGAACACCAGUGGCGAAGGCGGCUCUCUGGUCUGCAACUGACGCUGAGGCUCGAAAGCAUGGGUAGCGAACAGG
rnacentral:rRNA from 1 species